rnacentral:rRNA from 1 species
CCUACGGGAGGCAGCAGUGAGGAAUAUUGGUCAAUGGACGAGAGUCUGAACCAGCCAAGUAGCGUGAAGGAUGACUGCCCUAUGGGUUGUAAACUUCUUUUAUAUGGGAAUAAAACGUUCCACGUGUGGGAUUUUGUAUGUACCAUAUGAAUAAGGAUCGGCUAACUCCGUGCCAGCAGCCGCGGUAAUACGGAGGAUCCGAGCGUUAUCCGGAUUUAUUGGGUUUAAAGGGAGCGUAGGUGGAUUGUUAAGUCAGUUGUGAAAGUUUGCGGCUCAACCGUAAAAUUGCAGUUGAAACUGGCAGUCUUGAGUAGAGUAGAGGUGGGCGGAAUGCGUGGUGUAGCGGUGAAAUGCUUAGAUAUCGCGAAGAACUCCGAUUGCGAAGGCAGUUCACUGGACGGCAACUGACACUGAGGCUCGAAAGUGUGGGUAUCAAACAGGAUUAGAUACCCGAGUAGUC